rnacentral:lncRNA from 1 species
CUCUGUCUCCCUCCCUCUCCGUCUCUCUCCCUCUCUCCCUCUCUCUUUCCCUCCCUCCCUCCUUACUUCCACCUCCUUCUACUCAUUCUCUGCUCCCCCCUUCUCCCUCCCCUCCUUCCUUUCUCUUAUCCCUCCCCUCCCCACCCCCCCACUUAGCCCAACCUGGAAAGAGGAAAAUGCAUUGAGUCUUCACUAGCCAUCGCCAGGAAGCUGGUACUCUGUGGAUCUCAGAACACACACCCAUCUCCUCGUGGUUCAUCUGA